CAGAAUGAAGCUUUAUAGUAAAGUAUUUCACUUACAUUGAAAAGAUUUUCGUGCAAUUCGAAUUAUUCUGA
rnacentral:tRNA from 1 species